rnacentral:rRNA from 1 species
GACGGAGGAUGCAAGCGUUAUCCGGAAUGAUUGGGCGUAAAGCGUCCGCAGGUGGCAGUUCAAGUCUGCUGUCAAAGACCGGGGCCUAACUUCGGAAAGGCAGUGGAAACUGAACAGCUAGAGUAUGGUAGGGGCAGAGGGAAUUCCUGGUGUAGCGGUGAAAUGCGUAGAGAUCAGGAAGAACAUCGGUGGCGAAGGCGCUCUGCUGGACCAUAACUGACACUCAGGGACGAAAGCUAGGGGAGCGAAUGGG